GUAUGCUGGGUUCCAUGCUACAGAUUAAUAGUUAGCAUUGGUUGAAAAUAAUUCACACAGAAAAAUACACAAUUUUUAAAUUGUUUUUUAUUUAUUUUUUUAUUUACAGAUGAAAUAUAUACUUAACAGACAUGUUUCAUUGAUGUGAAUUGUUGCACUUUGAGAUGUUAUUUUUGUUGACAGUGUUACUGAUGUGUGAGCUGAAACUGUCGUGAUGACCUGUCUAUAUAAAAAUACAUUCUCUAUGCAGACCCAAUCUGACUGUUUCCUGUCGUUCUUCGGUGAUUUUCAACACAACACAGACCACAGAAGCAUACGGUUAGACGUGGUCUGAAAAGAGCUGUCUCUGACGAGAUUCCAUUGACUUUCCAUCCUAAACAACCUUUUCACUGAGAAGAUUUCUCAACAAAACCCAGGGAAGCUCAUUACUCGUGACGUAAUGGAGUAGAAAAAAAAUGAAGAAAGCUGUCUGAGGCGGCUGACGUGUCCUUGUCAAUGACUAAAAGGAGACUGAAGAAAGACGGAAAGACAGGUGGAUGGCUAUACAGGUGUAGCGAGAAAGCAGAAGAAGCACUUCACUGAUCAUUCUUCAUCUGGGUUUAUUGCAGCUGCAGCAGUAUUUAUGCACUUGGACCAUGAUUAAAUUCCAGAUAGGUGGAGUUUUGGUCCUGACAACAGACUUUGGACAUCAUAAAAGAACUAUAAAUCUGGACGUGCUUCUUUAUGGCAGGGGGACAUUGUUAUGUUGAAUAUGAUGAACAUUUAUCCUGAGGGCCUAGACCAAAGCUGUCAACAAUUUGUGCAGCAGCCAGUUGUAAUAAGGCAACAAAUCUCAAAGUAUCUUUCAAUUUUCUCCAUAAUUUAAAGAUGUUGCAUUUUGAACCAACUACUGUAGUAAUGCUGGCACUUUGAUCAAAGUUCCUUUGAGGCAAGCCAAGUCUAUGCAGUUACUUUCAGUUAUGCUCCAAUCUGCUCAAAGAGGAAAAGACCAAAAUCUCCUGAAUAAAAUCUGGCAAUCAACAAAGCAAUUGUGCUUUUAUUGUUUGUUUGUUUGUUUGUUUGUUGCUCAAAUUCACACACAAAUACCAAACAGCAUUUUUUUUUAUUUUUUUUAUAUCUUAAUUUGCAAAGUUCUUAUGGGUUUGGAACAACAUUGGGGUGAGUAAUUAAUGACAGAAUUCUCAUUUUGGGGUGAACUAUCCCUUUAACUCUCCUCAUUUAUGAUUUUCCACACGAUGACUGUCAGAUUAUUUAUUCUAACAGUGAUCUGGUCAAACAAACAGCCAAAAUCCGGUCACGGUCUA